GACGAACGCUGGCGGCGUGCUUAACACAUGCAAGUCGAACGGAAAGGCCCUGCUUUUGUGGGGUGCUCGAGUGGCGAACGGGUGAGUAACACGUGAGUAACCUGCCCUUGACUUUGGGAUAACUUCAGGAAACUGGGGCUAAUACCGGAUAGGAGCUCCUGCUGCAUGGUGGGGGUUGGAAAGUUUCGGCGGUUGGGGAUGGACUCGCGGCUUAUCAGCUUGUUGGUGGGGUAGUGGCUUACCAAGGCUUUGACGGGUAGCCGGCCUGAGAGGGUGACCGGCCACAUUGGGACUGAGAUACGGCCCAGACUCCUACGGGAGGCAGCAGUAGGGAAUAUUGCACAAUGGGCGGAGGCCUGAUGCAGCAACGCCGCGUGCGGGAUGACGGCCUUCGGGUUGUAAACCGCUUUCGCCUGUGACGAAGCGUGAGUGACGGUAAUGGGUAAAGAAGCACCGGCUAACUACGU
rnacentral:rRNA from 1 species